AGGCGUGGGGCUGGUCCCCAGCAGGGAUGGAUGGGAGUGACAAGCGGAAACUGCUCUGGCCACUGGACAGUCACUGGCGGGUACUGGAGCUCGUGAAGACCCAGCGGUUCCGUGCGCAAGAAUUGUGUGAAAUGAGACAAACACUUGAACUGUUCUGCUACCACCUGGAGAAAACACAAAGCUGACUUGGCACUCGAGACCAAGAGGAGAGGAAAUGAAGACCCGCCCCUCCCAAGAGAUCCUUUUACAUUUGUGCUACAGCUCCGACUUCAACUGCGUCAAAAGUACCACAGAAAACACCUCAGUUCCCUGAGCAAGGCCGAGCCAGGUGACUUGAAGAACUCAAAGAGAGAAUUCAAAAUGGUGCCUUUCCAGAGAA